UCUCGCGCAGUAUUAAUCAGCAUUUUACUAACCAAAAUAAAGCCAGAAAGAGAUGUUUUUGUCGAGCUAUAUAUUUUACAAAUUUUUAACAUUUAAAUUACUUUAAAGAAGGAGAAUAACAUAUCCAGAUAAUCAACUGAAAGCAACUAUGGCUCCUCCCGACUCAGGGACGCAGCGUCAGAUACAGCGACAAAGACAAACAAGUACAGAUGAAGUUAUGGUUGAAACACCAGAUAUUGUGACCUUCUUCAUUGCUGAUAGAGUUAGGGAACAAGGACUUGUUGUACCAGAAGAAAUGAGAGCCAUUUCAGUCAAUGGUGAAGUGGCGUCAUGCUUAAGACAGGUUGGCGAUGAUUUAGAAAACAAUCUCGAACUUAACAACCUUAUUGGCCAAAUAAAAGUCACGCCGCAGACCGCAUUCGAUACAUUUGCGGACGUAGCAAAUAAAAUAUUCGCUGAUGGUGUGUACAA